rnacentral:lncRNA from 1 species
UUCCCCCAAACCCUCAUUUUUCCCAAAACUCCAUUUUUUAUCCCUAAAACCCCCAUUUUGCUCUCCGACCCCCUAAUUUUCCCUUCCCACCCCCUACCUUUUGCCCCCAACCCCUCCACAAUUCCCCAAUUCUUCCCCCCACCCCCCACCCCCCCACCCCCACAGAAUCCCCCCCCUCCCCCUCAAUUUCACCAAAAUCCCCUUUUUUCUCCCCAAAGACCCCUCGGAGCUCCCCAAAUUCCUCCGCCCGCUCCACGAGGGGACCCUGGUGCUGGUGGCCUCCUUCGACGACCCCGCCACCAAGCUGACGGAGGAGUCGCGGCGGCUGCUGGCCGAGCUGGGCAGCGGGGCCGUGGGGGAUUUGGGGUUCCGCGACAGCUGGGUCUUCGUGGGGGCCAAGGGGGUCCGCGAGAGGAGCCCCUUCGAGCAGCACGUGAAGAACAGCCGCGGGGCCAACAAGUACGAGGGGUGGCCGGAGGCGCUGGAGAUGGAGGGGUGCAUCCCCCGCCGGGGGGCUGAGCCCCCCUGAGAGGCUAUGGGGCUGGCCCCACAGCUUGGGGGGCGGCCCCAGAGCUGGCCCUAUAGCGGGGGGGCUGGCCCUAUAGCGAGGGGGUCGGCCCCAUAGCUGGGGGGCAGCCCUAUAGCAGGGGGGGAGCUCCAGCCCCAUAGCAAUGGGGUCAGCCCCAUAGCAGUGGGGUCGGCCCCAUAGCGGGGGGGCAGCCCCAUAGCAGGGGUCUCCAGCCCCAUAGCGGGACCCCCAGCCCCAUAGCAAUGGGGACAGCCCCAUAGUAAGACCCCCCAGCCCCAUAGCGAUGGGGUCAGCCCCAUAGCAGUGGGGUCGGCCCCAUAGCAGGGGGGCAGCCCCAUAGCAGGGGUCUC